rnacentral:rRNA from 1 species
AGUGAACGCUGGCGGUAGGCCUAACACAUGCAAGUCGAACGGCAGCACAGUAAGAGCUUGCUCUUACGGGUGGCGAGUGGCGGACGGGUGAGGAAUACAUCGGAAUCUACUUUUUCGUGGGGGAUAACGUAGGGAAACUUACGCUAAUACCGCAUACGACCUACGGGUGAAAGCAUGGGAUCUUCGGACCUUGCGCGAUUGAAUGAGCCGAUGUCGGAUUAGCUAGUUGGCGGGGUAAAGGCCCACCAAGGCGACGAUCCGUAGCUGGCCUGAGAGGAUGAUCAGCCACACUGGAACUGAGACACGGUCCAGACUCCUACGGGAGGCAGCAGUGGGGAAUAUUGGACAAUGGGCGCAAGCCUGAUCCAGCCAUACCGCGUGGGUGAAGAAGGCCUUCGGGUUGUAAAGCCCUUUUGUUGGGAAAGAAAAGCAGCAGGUUAAUACCCCGCUGUUCUGACGGUACCCAAAGAAUAAGCACCGGCUAACUUCGUG